rnacentral:lncRNA from 1 species
CCGGCGCGUGGAAGCAGGGUACGGCGCCUGCGGAUCCCCUGGACGUGGACUCAGGCGGGGACAGCGUUGAUGGAGCGUCUGCUCCGCCCAGGCACCGUUCAGGGCGAAGCCUGGCCUUGAGGGGCUUGUAUAGUGGGAGUCACAAAGGACUCGCCAACAAGACAACUGGUAGUGCUAGGGAGGCCUGCGGAGAAGGAGAAAUAGGUAAAAGGUGGUAGGAGGAACGGGGUCUCCUCAUGUUGCCCAGGCUGGUCUCGAACUCCUCAAGCGAUCCACCUGCCUCAGCCUCCCAGAGCACUGGAAUUACAGGCGUGAGCCACCCCGCGGGGCCUGCUGAGCUUUAUUGGAAAGUGGCUAGUCCGAAUUGAGAUGUGAUAUAAGUGUGAAAUACACACACUAGAUUUUGAGGACUGAGAAUGAGAAAAAGAAUGUAAAAUAUCUCACUAACUUUAUAUGAAUCACAUGUUAAACAUAAUAUUU